rnacentral:rRNA from 4 species
AGACCCGAAACCCGGUGAUCUAGCCAUGGGCAGGUUGAAGGUUGGGUAACACUAACUGGAGGACCGAACCGACUAAUGUUGAAAAAUUAGCGGAUGACCUGUGGCUGGGGGUGAAAGGCCAAUCAAACCGGGAGAUAGCUGGUUCUCCCCGAAAGCUAUUUAGGUAGCGCCUCGUGAAUUCAUCUCCGGGGGUAGAGCACUGUUUCGGCUAGGGGGCCAUCCCGGCUUACCAACCCGAUGCAAACUGCGAAUACCGGAGAAUGUUAUCACGGGAGACACACGGCGGGUGCUAACGUCCGUCGUGAAGAGGGAAACAACCCAGACCGCCAGCUAAGGUCCCAAAGUCAUGGUUAAGUGGGAAACGAUGUGGGAAGGCCCAGACAGCCAGGAUGUUGGCUUAGAAGCAGCCAUCAUUUAAAGAAAGCGUAAUAGCUCACUGGUCGAGUCGGCCUGCGCGGAAGAUGUAACGGGGCUAAACCAUGCACCGAAGCUGCGGCAGCGAACGUAUCACCCAAGACAACUUUACGGAGUUGACGAUUGACGGAGCGAAGCGACGUCAAAGCGUUCAUUAAAGUCGAGUUGGCUUAGGGAUACGUUCGUUGGGUAGGGGAGCGUUCUGUAAGCCUGUGAAGGUGUGUCGUGAGGCAUGCUGGAG